ACGAGCGCAACCCUUGUCCUUAGUUACCAGCACGUUAUGGUGGGCACUCUAGGGAGACUGCCGGUGACAAACCGGAGGAAGGUGGGGACGACGUCAAGUCAUCAUGGCCCUUACGGCCAGGGCUACACACGUGCUACAAUGGUGCAUACAGACGGUUGCCAAGCCGCAAGGUGGAGCUAAUCUGAGAAAGUGCAUCGUAGUCCGGAUUGGGGUCUGCAACUCGACCCCAUGAAGUCGGAAUCGCUAGUAAUCGUGAAUCAAAAUGUCACGGUGAAUACGUUCCCGGGCCUUGUACACACCGCCCGU
rnacentral:rRNA from 1 species